ensembl:lincRNA
CAUUCUGCCCUCAUCUACAUGGAAAUCCUGCAUUAUGGAGUUUGUUUUGUGUCUGGAAUUUCUCUGCAAUCCCUCCAUCAGCCCACAAGAGAUAAACACAUGGCACCCUUAGGGGCGGAGGGGAGGCACUUAAAAUAGCGCAGCUCCAGAGCAGGCUGCUGCACACAGUUCGUCACAGACGAAGGCUGAAUGCAAAUUGCGGAGCGAGUGGCAGCUGGCCCCACCCACCCCAAACAGGUUGGAAAUGGAGAAAAUCUGCAGGUGUCCAGAGAGGAUGCAGCAGAGGGAGAGGAGGAGGGGAUGAAGUGGGGCAGAAAGGGCACUAACAGAGCACUGAUGCUCCACUGUGCUCCCCAGUGUACAGAUGGAAACCUGCAUCGUGGGUAUUUCAACCCUUGUCCAGGGUCACAGAGGGACUGGCAAACUAUACCUCAUGGACUGCAUCUACCUCAAGACAAGAAUGAAAUAACGGAGAACAUGUGGCAGAGACCAUGUGUGGCCCUUUAUAGAAAAGUGUGCGGAGCCCUUCUCCACAUCAGGAGCAGGAUCCGGAGCAGGGCAGGAAAGCAUCCUGUGGCAACCCCACUGCUUGGGAAGUGACAGCCAAGGACAGGAAGAACUGGCACGCCCAGUCCAGGCCUGGCUUUCUGACCUGUACGGGGUGCCAGCCCUCGGAAUCCCAGGACACCGAGAGAGAUGCUAUCUUUAAGAACCUCUGGGAAGCGCACAGAGAUGUGUGUAAGGCACCUGUGAUGAUUCCCACCCCUGAGGGUGAAGUAGAGUUUCAGGAGGAAGGGAAGGGCUGCAGUGAUGCAGGAAAACCUCCACUAUGAGCAGGGAGCUGUCCGCACUUUCAGAGGAGCACACAGGCCUUAGAGAGGUGGACGGUUAGUCCAGGCCACGCUGAUGGAGAGAGAACAGGAAUCUGAGCCCAGCAGCAAAGCCCCAGUGCUGUGUCCUUAUCUUCACCUGCAGGGCAACCUUGGGCACAGCUGGGUCUGAUAGAUGUGAGCACUCAGAUUCCUCCUGGAACUUCCGUGAUGCCUCUGUGUCCAUGGGACCCCUGGGGAGCCAUGGGAGCCACCAACCCCAUUGCUCAGCCCUGACCAUGAGGUCUGGCCUCUGCAGAGAAGUCAGAGGGCACAGAAGGUCCCAGAUCUGGUCUCUGCCAGGAGGGACAGGCACCAUACUGGGUGCUUUACUCACCACAUCGUCUUUUCCCACCUCGUACCCACCUAGGACAAUGACUCCAUUUUAAAAGAGGGAAAACUGAGGCUCAAAUAGAUUGCAUAUGAUCAUGCGGUUUGUAAAUAGCAGGUCCAGGACUCUAAACCAGCUCUCUCCGAUUUCAAAGUCCAUGAUUUCCCCUUCCUCGGUGCUGCCUCUUUUAUGGGGUGGGGGCACCUCCUCCUUGUCUGGGUGGGGCACCCUCUUUGGCACUUGGAGGCAGGUCAGCAAGUGAGCUGUCUGCCCAGCUCCUGCCAGCUCUGUCCCACAGAAUCCGAGCCAGUCAAGUGUAGAAAGAUUGGGUCUGCAGAGACAGACUAAUGAAGCAAUUUAAAAACAAUUGUUUGGAACACACAGACAUCUGGGUAAUAACAGACUACAAGACAACUGACCAGUGAAUUUUCUCAGGGCCACUAACAGAGCAAGAUCUGCCUCAGCACAUGCAGAUGGCAUGAGACUUGUUGGGCCGUCCCACAGGUGCCGCCGUGAGGGCUUGGGACAGAGUCACGGCAGGGGCCAGAGCGUCCACUCCUCUGGACACUGUGUGCGUGUGUCUGAGGGAUGCUGCUAUGCAGACACAAAAACAGAAAUGUUGCUUAACGUUCUCAUGCGUAAAUGAAGCUAUGCAGACAUCUGCAUACACAGGAAAGGUCAUCUUCACGCUUCACACAACUACACAGACCAGGGCAUGGGCACACACAAACAUACGUGCACGUAUGUGACAGAGGAGCACAGUAUUGGCCUCAGACCCUUGCCCAUCCUUCAAUUUUCACUGAGAAGAUAGAGCAUAUUGCCUGGUCCUCGACGGUGUGCUUGGUCCAUCGGGUUACUUGCUUGGGCCAAUAGAAUAAGACAAACGCGAUGGAGUACCAUUUCCAAGGCCAGGCCUUCCGAGGCCUGUUUCCCUAUGCCAAUGCCAUGAAAGGGUAUCAAUUGUCCUAUAAGGGGGAUAAAAGACAUAGGAAAAGCGCUGCUCCAGUUGCUCCCAGCCAUGCCCGGGAGUGUGGGCACAGAUGAUGGGGUAGUCUAUGAUAAAGCAAGAGUUAACUGAUCAGCGCAUCCAGACCCAUGCACACAGAGACGUGUGGCAUGCAUCCAGACAGCCCUGUGCAUGCACACACGAGCACCUGCACACAUAUGGGCACUCUCCUGCACACAGUUUUCAGGCCCAAGCAUCAGCGUCCCUGACUGGGUAAGAGCCUGGAGAAGACAACAGCCCCUCUUGCUGCCUGAGAGAGGCUGUGACUGUGAGGCAUUGGCACCAGCAUGCUUUUAAAGAGCCCUGUACUCAACAGGCUCACGCCUCAAGGUAGAAGGAAUCUUCUAGAGCUUCCUCUGAGCAGCUUUGACUGAGGUCCCUGUUCUUUCCAAUCACAUCUUCCUCAGGAGGGAGGAGUAGGCUGUCACCUUGUGACUUAGAGCAAGAACAAAGGGAA